rnacentral:rRNA from 1 species
GGCAUCCUACGGGACGCAGCAGUGAGGAAUAUUGGUCAAUAGGCGGGAGCCUGAACCAGCCAAGUCGCGUGAGGGACGACGGUCCUAUGGAUUGUAAACCUCUUUUGUCGGGGAACAAAGGCGCCCACGGGUGGGCGGAUGAGUAUACCCGAAGAAAAAGCAUCGGCUAACUCCGUGCCAGCAGCCGCGGUAAUACGGAGGAUGCGAGCGUUAUCCGGAUUUAUUGGGUUUAAAGGGUGCGUAGGCGGACGGUCAAGUCAGCGGUAAAAAUGCGGUGCUCAACGCCGUACAGCCGUUGAAACUGG